CCUCUUCCCGACCCCCGAGCCUCCCACCUCGACGCCGCCCUCACCCUCGCUCGGGCCUCGCCCAUGCGCCGCCCUCAUCCGCGCGACGGCCUCCACCUCGCGACGGACCGCCGCCCUCCUCGAUUCGUGUCCCCUCGGCCCUCGCGCAACACCUUCCUCUUCCGUGAGCCACCCAAUCCGGUCCUGCGUGCGACGCCCCUGCCCAUGAUGCGCCGCCCACCCCUCCCCGUCGGUCGCUCGCUCCUCCCCAUCGGCCACCCGCCGCUACAUCUCUCUCUAUCUGUGCUCGGCGGCUGGCGCAGCCCGCCUCCCGCUCCUCUCCCCUUCCGUGUCCGAGGCGCGCUGUCCGCAUCAUCUACGACCGGGACUAAUUCGUCCGUCUUGCCGAAGUGCCAAACGGAACCGCCCGUUCACCCUAGCUCCAUCCGGCCUCCAGUGCGAUCGUCGCCUCCAUCCAUCCCACCCGCAGUCAGAGCCACCAACACUGAGCAGUUGUCCGUCCUCCUGCCCUCGCUCCAUCUCCAACCUCCGAUCUGAUGCGGCUGCUUAGGGCCGAGCGCCCGUGCCCACCAAGCAUGCCCCACGCCGCAGCCCUCCGAUUCACUCCCUUCCACCACUGCUUGUUCCGACGCCUCUCCCUCUCUGGGAUCAAAUUGGUGGAGGCAAUAAGAUCGAGCCUGCGGCCAGCCAGCCUGGUGCUGCUCGAUGACUACUGGCCGGUCAACCAGUAUGUUUUGCCAGGUGAUGUUCUGUUCCCUAGCGAUGUUCUGUGUUUGAAGCAAUGUGUUAGAGGAGUUGUCACUCUGAGUGAACCCAAUGAAGCUCUGGUUCCAAUAUCCCCUUACCACGUAAAUGUUCCUUUACCAUCUUCUAGUUGCAGAAAUAAAUAAAUUCGAUCUGAUUAUUGACUGAUUCUUGUUUUUUUUUCUUUCUUGUGUCAUGCGCUCCUGUAAUCAUGUUGGCGUCCUAAAUUGGUCGGAGAAGCGAUACUGCUCCCGACUCGAUGCAUCAAUAGGUCACUGGCACUGAUGAAUCUUUCCAUCGUGGGACCUGCUAUCUCUGGUUGAGCUGCAUCCAGAAACUGAAGAUUCAUUCACAUGGAAAGUGGACAGCUAAUAGGCAAUGCACGGCAAAGUCAGCUUAUCUUGCCCGACACCAAGGUUCAAUCAGAUUGCAUGGGACUGACCUCAUUUGCAAAACAUGGGCUCCUCUUUUGGGUUAAAAUGUUUCUUUAGCUCACUUUCAGAAGACAUCAUUGGACUGCGGACUGGUGGAUACGGCAUGGCUUACAAGCUUCAGAGACCUGCAGACUUUGUAAUCAGUAAGCCGAAUCUUCUGACCACAUUAUGCUCAGGUGUUCUUUAUCUGUACAGAUUUGGUGGGCAAUAUUAUCUAGACUGGGCUUCAAGAACAUCAGACGCAUGGUGUGAGUUUGUUAUUACAAGAUUGGUGGAUCAACCUGUGGGUGCAUUUACUGGCAGGAAAAUGAAAAGGUCUUGAUUCUCUGAUCGCUCUGGUCACCUGGAAUUUGUAGAAGGAAAGGAAUGCACAGAUCUUAUGGAAUGAUGAGGCGAUAGUGCAGCAACACAUAUGGAUUGUUUGUUUUCUGAAUAAUAACAGAAUAAGCAGAGUAGCUGAAGUUCUCUAGGUUUAUUUAUUGAUGUAUAUACAUGCUAGGUCUGUGUUGCGUUGCAUGUCAUGUAAUAAAACUAUUUGCUUUUUUUCUUAAUAUAAAGAUGCACAGCUC